GAAAAAGGCUUGCACAAUUUUUGUUACAGAGAAGAAAGUGUUGCUGUCAUUACUUUUAGUUCUUAACCUCUCCCUUUCCUGAGGUGAUAUAUACCCUUCACUUUAGAUUAGUGGUACUUAUAGUAAUUCAGUGAUAUAGAAUGAUGUGACCUACACAUCAAAGUCCAAUUUCUCCUCUUUACAGUACCAGAAUGAAAGCAUCAGUAGUCACAGGGAGAAUCACAACAAGUAGUCAUUUCAUUUUCCAAUGAACACAUCUUAUUGUCUCUAAACCAUAUUUGCACACCUUCCUCUGGAGCAAAGGAGAGAGCCUUGAGCCAUGUUUCCAGGUAGAUAGAAAUUCAUGAAACAGAGGACACAGUUGAGAGGUCCAAAGUUCAAGGAGGCAGCCAAACUUCCAAGUGUUGGUUGAGAUGUUAUCAUGCUACAUAAAUAAUUUUCCAGAAGAUUAGGUUUGUUUCUCUUGCUAUCCUAGAAAGACAGGUACUGCCUUGUGUUUAGCAUGCUUUCAACUUCUUUAAUUUUCUCUUCUCCUGCACUGAUGUCCCAGUGUGUUCAAAUUAACAGCCCAAACGCUCCCCUUUGCUUGUGAGGGUCAGCGUGAUCUGACAGCAUUUCCAUUAUUUGUGUGUGGGGGGAGGGUAUCUCAGAAAUCUUGCACAUUUCUGGAUAACUCUAGGGGAAGCCAUUGUAAUAUAUUAGUAUCAUACAGCAGUUUCCCUAAUUUCACUUAUACAUUUAUUCACUGAAGUCUGCUUAUUAGAGCUCAUUAUGAAUACUUAUAAUAGAUUUUUUGUGGAAUUUUUCUGCCAUAUAAUUAAUGUAAUUCAUAAUGGCUGCUCAUUUUGGGUUACCAGUGAUUAUAAUUAUAUAAAAGGGCUUGUAAAAUAAUACAACCAUGGUUAUUCAGAAUUUUGUUGACUAAAUUCCCUCUUUCUUUUCUAUUUCUGUUUUAUUUUAUAGGGUAGAUUUCAUGUUGUAGUGUAAUUUCUCACAUCAAUUGAUUUCUCACAUCAAUUAAUUAUGUUUUUUUACCUACAUUUUAUAAUUUGAUGGAAAUUUUUAAUAUUUCA
rnacentral:lncRNA from 1 species